CUGUUUCUCUUUGUGAGUGCACUUCCCUCUCUGCAGUGAUCUAUGGUGCUCAAGAAAGGAUUUUUAAAUUGACAGGCUGAAAGAUACUAGCACCCGGGAGAGUUUAUUAAACCCACAGCCAAUGAACUUGGUUCAGCCAAUGCCUUUAAAAGAAUGAGUGUCUGAAAAGCUGCAGGGCACUGUAUCGUUUUAGCACUGAAAAAUGAGACAGAGAUUUUGAACAGUGUGAAAUGGACAUUCUGUUCUGUAGCCAAAAGUGUGUGUGAAAGAGGAAGAGAUUUUUGCCAGUGGAAGAAUGGAGAAGAAAAUAUGAACAGGGACAAAUUUAUUGGUGUGGCCACACUAUGAAGUAAUUUGGCAGCAUGCUGUUCUGAAAAGGGAUUGGAUCCUGGGAGAGAGGAGUGAAUUCGAAUCCUACUCCUUACUAGAUGGCGGCAACAGCAUGAGGUGUCAGGAAAGCUUUGAAGCAAAGGGUGCAGCAGAAGAGGUGGUGAUGGAUUUUGCAGGAUGACACCUGUGUAUCUUUGGAAAUUACUCUUAACAACAUGUGGUUAGCCUGCCCAAAGUACCAGUACUAAACCAUAUAACUUCACAUGUGUUAUCUCAUUUGUCUUCCCCCUUCUCCCCCUGUCCACCAAACUCCCAUACUCCCAAACCCCUAGUCCUUAUAUAUGAGAAAUUUGUAAUUCCCAGAGUUCCGUUUCCUUAAAGAGAGUCCCAGGCCACCCGCAUUAGAAUAUUUUGGGGGUGUCUAUUAAAAAUCAGGUUCCAGGAACUUACCCUACACUUAAUAAUCAAGAAUCUCUGUAGGUGGAACCUGAGAGCCUAGAUGAUUCUAUGCAUCCCCAAGUUUGAGAAGCACUCUCAGAGAGGAGCGGUAACUUGUUCAAGGUCAAAAUAAGAGAGAUAACAUUUGAAUUUGCUGGUCUGUCUUGGAAUCCCAUGCUUUUCCCACUCACUCCACUUACAUAGUCCCAUCAUGUAAGGGAAGGAAUGGUCUCAUCAUCUAAGGAAAGGUGAGAGGCCACAUGCUGUCAACUAUUAUAUUAAUGUUUGACAUUUGAUGAAUAUUUUGAAGUUUCAAGGUGUUUUCCUCCAGCUUUCCCACUUAAUAAAGCAUAAUAUGGUUUGAUUA
rnacentral:lncRNA from 1 species